GUGAGGAAUAUUGGUCAAUGGACGAGAGUCUGAACCAGCCAAGUCGCGUGAAGGAAGACGGUUCUAUGAAUUGUAAACUUCUUUUGUGCAGGAAUAAAGUGGGUUACGUGUAACCUUUUGUAUGUACUGUACGAAUAAGGAUCGGCUAACUCCGUGCCAGCAGCCGCGGUAAUACGGAGGAUCCGAGCGUUAUCCGGAUUUAUUGGGUUUAAAGGGUGCGUAGGUGGAUUGAUAAGUCAGCGGUGAAAGUUUGCAGCUUAACUGUAAAAUUGCCGUUGGAACUGUCGGUCUUGAGUGCAAAUGAGGUAGGCGGAAUGUGUUGUGUAGCGGUAAAAUGCUUAGAUAUAACACAGAACUCCGAUUGCGAAGGCAGCUUACUGGGAUGCAACUGACACUGAUGCACGAAAGCGUGGGUAUCAAACAGGAUUAGAAACCCCUGUAGUCC
rnacentral:rRNA from 1 species